rnacentral:rRNA from 1 species
AGAAUUUGAUCCUGGUUCAGGAUGAACGCUGGCGGUGUGCUUUAGGUAUGCAAGUCGAACGAGAUUAGUAGCAAUACUAAUCUAGUGGCAGACGGGUGAGUAACGCGUAUGAAUCUACCCUUGAGUGGAAAAUAACUCUCCGAAAGGAGGGCUAAUGUUCCAUGGUAACUCCGGUUUAAAGCUCUUAACUGGGCGCUCAAGGAGGAGCAUGCGUUCUAUCAGCUUGUUGGUGGGGUAAUGGCCUACCAAGGCGAUGACGGAUAGCUGGACUGAGAGGUCGAUCAGCCACAGGGGCACUGAGACACGGGCUCCACACCUACGGGUGGCAGCAACCAGGAAUAUUGCACAAUGGACGAAAGUCUGAUGCAGCGACACCGCGUGGAGGAUGACAGCUUUCGGGUUGUAAACUCCUUUUGCCAAGCCCUUCACAGCUUGGCGAAUAAGGCCUUACUAACUACGUGCCAGAAGUCUCGGUAAUACGUAGGGGCCAAGCGUUAUCCGGAUUUACUGGGCGUAAAGCGUGUGUAGGCGGUUUAUUAAGUCACUUUUUAAAGCCUGCAGCUUAACUGCAGUUUUGGGAGUGAUACUAGUAGACUAGUGGUUUGUUCGGGGUAUCGGAACAGUUGGUGUAGUGGUGAAAUACGUUGAUAUCAACUGGAACACCGAAGGCGAAGGCAGAUACCUGGGAUUUACCAGACGCUGAGACACGAAAGCUAGGGGAGCGAAACAGAUUAGAGACCUGUGUAGUCCUAGCCGUAAACUAUGUCCGCUAGAUUCCGGUAGCAAUAUCGGAGUCGUAAGCUAACGCGUUAAGCGGACCGCCUGGGGACUACGGCCGCAAGGCUAAAACUCAAAGGAAUUGACGGGGACCCGCACAACCAGUGGAGCGUGUGGUUCAAUUCGAGACAAAGCGAAAAACCUUACCAGGGCUUGACAUGUA